rnacentral:rRNA from 1 species
CGCUAGCUACAGGCUUAACACAUGCAAGUCGAGGGGCAGCAUGGUCUUAGCUUGCUAAGGCCGAUGGCGACCGGCGCACGGGUGAGUAACACGUAUCCAACCUGCCGUCUACUCUUGGACAGCCUUCUGAAAGGAAGAUUAAUACAAGAUGGCAUCAUGAGUCCGCAUGUUCACAUGAUUAAAGGUAUUCCGGUAGACGAUGGGGAUGCGUUCCAUUAGAUAGUAGGCGGGGUAACGGCCCACCUAGUCUUCGAUGGAUAGGGGUUCUGAGAGGAAGGUCCCCCACAUUGGAACUGAGACACGGUCCAAACUCCUACGGGAGGCAGCAGUGAGGAAUAUUGGUCAAUGGGCGAGAGCCUGAACCAGCCAAGUAGCGUGAAGGAUGACUGCCCUAUGGGUUGUAAACUUCUUUUAUAAAGGAAUAAAGUCGGGUAUGGAUACCCGUUUGCAUGUACUUUAUGAAUAAGGAUCGGCUAACUCCGUGCCAGCAGCCGCGGUAAUACGGAGGAUCCGAGCGUUAUCCGGAUUUAUUGGGUUUAAAGGGAGCGUAGAUGGAUGUUUAAGUCAGUUGUGAAAGUUUGCGGCUCAACCGUAAAAUUGCAGUUGAUACUGGAUAUCUUGAGUGCAGUUGAGGCAGGCGGAAUUCGUGGUGUAGCGGUGAAAUGCUUAGAUAUCACGAAGAACUCCGAUUGCGAAGGCAGCCUGCUAAGCUGCAACUGACAUUGAGGCUCGAAAGUGUGGGUAUCAAACAGGAUUAGAUACCCUGGUAGUCCACACGGUAAACGAUGAAUACUCGCUGUUUGCGAUAUACUGCAAGCGGCCAAGCGAAAGCGUUAAGUAUUCCACCUGGGGAGUACGCCGGCAACGGUGAAACUCAAAGGAAUUGACGGGGGCCCGCACAAGCGGAGGAACAUGUGGUUUAAUUCGAUGAUACGCGAGGAACCUUACCCGGGCUUAAAUUGCAGAUGAAUUACGGUGAAAGCCGUAAGCCGCAAGGCAUCUGUGAAGGUGCUGCAUGGUUGUCGUCAGCUCGUGCCGUGAGGUGUCGGCUUAAGUGCCAUAACGAGCGCAACCCUUGUUGUCAGUUACUAACAGGUUCCGCUGAGGACUCUGACAAGACUGCCAUCGUAAGAUGUGAGGAAGGUGGGGAUGACGUCAAAUCAGCACGGCCCUUACGUCCGGGGCUACACACGUGUUACAAUGGGGGGUACAGAGGGCCGCUACCACGCGAGUGGAUGCCAAUCCCCAAAACCUCUCUCAGUUCGGACUGGAGUCCGCAACCCGACUCCACGAAGCUGGAUUCGCUAGUAAUCGCGCAUCAGCCACGGCGCGGUGAAUACGUUCCCGGGCCUUGUACACACCGCCCGUCAAGCCAUGGGAGCCGGGGGUACCUGAAGUGCGUAACCGCGAGGAGCGCCCUAGGGUAAAACUGGUGACU